AGAUCUCUGUAAGACACAAAAGUUGGAUGACAGUCGUUUUGAUUCUUGGACUUUACUAGAGACUCCAAAGACGCAUCUGAGGAGAAAAGCUCUGGGUCCCUGGGAUGACUGUGCCACUCGACAUAGCCUCCUGGAGUGGCCAAAGAGAGUGUGGAUAAGAAAAGAAAUAUUGGAGUGAACUUUCACUCACUCCCACUUCUGUAGGUUUCUUAAAAUAUAUGGGUUUAGAAGCAAGAUACUUGGCGUUUUCAAAUGACUCAAAAGAGAUGUAGAUGAAGAGAAGUUCGGUCAUCCCACAGAUCUUCCGGAGUAACCUGGACACAUCCCUAAAUCUCUAGCUCCUGGGUCUUCGAAAGCCUGUUUGCCUCAGGGUUGGGAGGAAAGGGUUUGGAAAGUACCAAGGCAAGGGUUGGCAAAAAGAUUACCUCAUCAGUGAGGAAAUGAAAUUUCCAGAAGUUUUCGCCAGAUCUGGGACCAGAGACAAAUGCUGGAUGAAUUUCCUAUGCAAACCUCUUUUAGAACCACCGCUUCAAAGGCCGUCCAGAGACUUCAAAUUAGAUCUGGUGAAACUGCUCCCGGUAGGGGAUUGGUAGUUCAGCGGUAGAGGUUUUUGUCUCCCACGCCGGCGACUCCGGUACGACUCCCGGCCAUGCAGGACUUCUUACCCUUCCGGCAGGAAGGGCUACUACGUUUCUACCCAACGAAGUUAUUAUAUUAUACAGGCUGUACUGCAUUUAUGGACCUUGGUCGUGGCAGCUAGAAGCUAACCUGAGGGGCGUGCCACCUCUGGAGCAUUCUCUGUGCUCGAACUAAUAAUCCCGGAAUUUACGUUCCUGUGCUCGAAGCCUGUCCUUGAAAGUGGGGAGUGUUUCCGGUGGGUUGCUGCAGUUUUAAAUACUGGGAAUUAAAACCUUUGCUACUUUCAUCUAGUCUCCCGGCAAACCCCUGGGUAACCCAAAGCCCAUCAGAGGGAUUCGCGUGCUGGGCUUUCCGCUACGUUAGGCCACGUCUCACUAUGGAGCGAGGAUCAAGAAGGUCCGGGAAGGAGAGAAGCUGCGGGGUCCAGGGAGACUCUUCGGCGGUUGGUCGGAGAGGUUUCAGCGGCCCAAGGAAAAGGGAAGCGUGUGGGAAUCUAUCCGCGUAGAGAUGAGGGGCGCGGCGGAGACAGUCCCACGCAGAGGUAUGCCCAAACACCGAGUUACUUAACCUCCUCAACCACCUUGGCAUCCGCGCCUUCCGUGGGCCCGUCGGUCUUCCGGGAGAGAUUCUGUGUCCCUGGUAUUGUGUGUCAACAGGUGUUAGCCUGAUAGUUAUAUUUUUAAUGAGAGAAAACGAACUACAGAAUUUGCGAGUUUUGCUUUUUUUCUGGUUUUGCUUUAUACCUCUUGGAUUCUCCUUCCAAAGGAUUCCAAUCUGAGGGGCAUUGAGGUGUGACUAUGGUAGACAAGGGGUGGUGAAUUUUCAUCCAAAAAUCUUUGGCGGAUUCCCUUGCUCUCCCGCUCCCCAGUCUAAGAGCAGUUUAAAACAGAAGAUCAGAAACAUUUGGAGAGUGUUUUUUUCUCUGCGUUCUAAUGAUAAACUUGAUUUAUUCAAUUCCAAAAGUUUCCUUAUUCUGAGGUUGUCUUUCCAUAUUUUGAGUAUAAAACCAUGGCCAUACUAUAUGUUGGACCCACGAAGGUUCUUCUCUUCACUUGUUUAUUUGUAAAGUCUCUUUGUAAUCUGAGAAUUUCUUGAGUAAACUGGGA
rnacentral:lncRNA from 1 species